UGUGGGUUAGUUUUUAGGAACAUUAAAUUUUGAUUUUAAAGGGAGCAGGUCAAUCUGCUACUUGCAG
rnacentral:tRNA from 1 species